rnacentral:rRNA from 1 species
CGGCGUGCUUAACACAUGCAAGUCGAACGGAAAGGCCCCAGCUUGCUGGGGUGCUCGAGUGGCGAACGGGUGAGUAACACGUAAGUGAUCUGCCCUGCACUGGGGGAUAAGCUUGGGAAACUGGGUCUAAUACCCUAUAGGACCGCAUCGUGGUUGGUGUGGUGGAAAGGUUUUUCUGGUGUGGGAUGAGCUUGCGGCCUAUCAGCUUGUUGGUGGGGUAAUGGCCUACCAAGGCGGCGACGGGUAGCCGGCCUGAGAGGGUGUGCGGCCACAUUGGGACUGAGAUACGGCCCAGACUCCUACGGGAGGCAGCAGUGGGGAAUUUUGCACAAUGGGCGGAAGCCUGAUGCAGCGACGCCGUGUGGGGGAUGAAGGCCUUCGGGUUGUAAACUCCUUUCGUCAGGGACGAAGUUUUUUUGACGGUACCUGGAUAAGAAGCACCGGCUAAYUACGUGCCAGCRGCCGCGGUAWUACGUAGGGUGCGAGCGUUGUCCGGAUUUACUGGGCGUAAAGGGCUCGUAGGUGGKGUGUCGCGUCGUCUGUGUAAUCCAGGGGCUUAMYUUUUGGUUGGCAGGCGAUACGGGCAUUGCUUGAGUGCUGUAGGGGAGACUGGAWUUCCUGGUGUAGCGGUGAA